GUGUGGAGCCGUAGCGAAAGCGAGUUUUAACUGAGCGUUCAGUUACGUAACGUAGACCGGAAACCGGGCGACCUACCCAUGAGCAGGAUGAAGCGAAAGAAAAAGUUCGUGGAGGUCCGAACCCACGGGCGUUGAAAAGCUCGGGGAUGACUUGUAGGUAGCGGUGAAAUUCCAAGCGAGCCCGGAGAGAGCUGGUUCUCCCCGAAAGAGCUUUAGGGCUAGCCUCAAGGUG
rnacentral:rRNA from 1 species